rnacentral:rRNA from 1 species
GACGAACGCUGGCGGCGUGCUUAACACAUGCAAGUCGAACGGUAAGGCCCUUCGGGGUACACGAGUGGCGAACGGGUGAGUAACACGUGGGUGAUCUGCCCUGCACUUCGGGAUAAGCCUGGGAAACUGGGUCUAAUACCGGAUAGGACCCUGGGAUGCAUGUCCUGGGGUGGAAAGCUUUUGCGGUGUGGGAUGGGCCCGCGGCCUAUCAGCUUGUUGGUGGGGUGAUGGCCUACCAAGGCGACGACGGGUAGCCGGCCUGAGAGGGUGACCGGCCACACUGGGACUGAGAUACGGCCCAGACUCCUACGGGAGGCAGCAGUGGGGAAUCGUACACAAUGGACGAAAGUCUGAUGUCGCGACGCCGCGUGAAGGAUGAAGGCGUUUUCGUUGUAAACUUCUUUUGCCAUAUGGGAGACCAUAUGGAGAAUAAGCACCUGCUAAUCUCGUGCCAGCAGCCGCAGUAA